rnacentral:rRNA from 1 species
CCUACGUGCGGCAGCAGUGGGGAAUAUUGGACAAUGGGCGAAAGCCUGAUCCAGCCAUGCCGCGUGUGUGAAGAAGGCCUUCGGGUUGUAAAGCACUUUCAGUGGGGAAGAAAGCCUUGGGGCUAAUACCCUCGAGGAAGGACAUCACCCACAGAAGAAGCACCGGCUAACUCCGUGCCAGCAGCCGCGGUAAUACGGAGGGUGCGAGCGUUAAUCGGAAUUACUGGGCGUAAAGCGCGCGUAGGCGGUCUGAUAAGCCGGUUGUGAAAGCCCCGGGCUCAACCUGGGAACGGCAUCCGGAACUGUCAGGCUAGAGUGCAGGAGAGGAAGGUAGAAUUCCCGGUGUAGCGGUGAAAUGCGUAGAGAUCGGGAGGAAUACCAGAGGCGAAGGCGGCCUUCUGGACUGACACUGACGCUGAGGUGCGAAAGCGUGGGUAGCAAACAGGAUUAGAUACCCCGGUAGUC